UUUCCGUAGGUGAACCUGCGGAAGGAUCAUUCAUAAUAAGUGUUUUACUGCACUUUUUAAAAAUAGUACUCACAUUGUGUGCAAUGUUGUGUUUCUUUUCGGAGAAACACCUACACCAACCUAUAACCUUGAACCACUUUGUCUGAAAAACUAUUAUGAAUACUUAAUUCAAAAUACAACUUUCAACAACGGAUCUCUUGGCUCUCGCAUCGUUGAAGAACGCAGC
rnacentral:misc_RNA from 1 species